GACACUAUAGCCAAGUGGUUACGGCGACAGAUUUGAAUUACUCACUAUCUGUUCCUCUUUGAGGGCGGAGGUUCGAACCCUCCUGGUGUCG